UUCCCCUCUUUUGCUAUCCUUUGCAUGCCAUUCCAAAGGGGAGGUAGUAAGUGUUACAUCCAUAGAGAUGUAUUGCCAACCAAAACUUCAAAACUGAAAUCUUCUGCUAGAAAAAUGUUUUGGAAUAAGAAACAAUCCUUUUUUUCUCUCCUUCCCCCUUUCUCUUCCCCCAGAUAGUUUUGAGGGCAGCAAAGAAGCAGACAGGAUCAGUUGUCCAAACUGCUUGCUUGCCAUGUGCUGGCUGAGUCCCCCCUUUACGGGGAAGGCUGUCUGCUGAACAUGAGACUCUCAGCUGGGUGACAGAUGGCAUUUUACUGCCUGACUGCAAGUCAAAUUUAUUUUCUGGAAGAUUGUGAACAUGCAGGUGGGUUUGGGGCAGGGAAGCGGGCGUUUGCUCCAUUGUCUGAUGUGAUCAGAACUUGAUGUGCCCAUUGCUGCUGCUUCUGAUCACCUUGGGACUUGCUUGGUGACCAUCCUUGCCUGGUGCCUUCUGAUGUGUCGUUCAGAGUUAUCCUGGAAAUCCCAGCCAUCAUGGUGGCUAGAAAUUAUGCCUGUCAUAGUUUCAACACUUCAGAGUUGCUAAGGUUGAGAAGCACUGUUCUAGAGCAAAGAGAUCUUGGAAUCUGAAUCUGGCUGCAAGAGGGUACAAACUCUGGACUUUGGUCUUUCUGAGUGCAGAAAACAAUGUUGAUCUGGAUAUCCACAGAGAUUCUAUUAGGACACAUGGGCUCUUGUUUCUUCACAGUCUUGGUUGCCUACAUUCGCAAUUUGUUCCCUGCAGAAAAAGGAAGAGAGCCUUUGCAGACAGAUGCCAAGUUCUGUGUGUCUUCAUUCUCUUGCUCUCAAGGAAUGACAUUUACAGUUGGGGGUGUCUGCUGCUUGUCACUCAAGCUGGACUCCCACUUUGCCGUUGGCCAAUUGUGAGGGACCCUUAUUCCUGACGGAUAACUGAGUGAGCAGGUGAGUGGUUUCUCCCGUAAAUUCCUGCUCAGGGUAUACUUAAAAUUCGGUUUCCAUGGAGACUCGUUCCUACAGUUUUGAAAAUUCCACUUUCUGCCCAAACUGAUGCCAGGGAAACCCAGUCACUUCCCUGCAUGCUGGAAACAAGUGCAAAAGGGAUGGGGGUGGGGGUGGUGCAAGCUCUGAUACAUUUGUGAUUUCCAAGGAUUGCUUUAUACAUUCCAGCACACGGCUUCUGUUCUCUGGACUGAGUCAUUCUCUCUUAUGAGCAGCCCCUGAGAUCUUGCCUCUUUGGAACUAUUAGCCUCCACAAAAAGGGGCAGGUAGAUCCCCAAGUUACAUAUCUGUGGGGUUUUGAUCACUGGGGGUGGGAUGGUUUGCUGAGAAAAGCAUAAAUGUCUUUUGCAAGAAUUAAAUAAUAAAGAGGCAGAUCCUUGCAUUAUUAUUACAUUUGUAAUUAUAACUGUGAGUAGAGCUGCAAUACAAUGUUACAGGCUAUGACGUGGUUCACUCAUUGUGCUAAACCAAAGAUUGUUUGCAUGGCUCACUGAACAUGUAGCAAGCUGAGACAUAAACCAUGAUUUACAUACCACAGUGGCUAGGUUCAUACUACUUGCUAAUGGAAAACUCCAAAAUUCAUAGUAUCGUUAAUUGAAGUAUCAUUGUCUGGUAUACAGGCAGCCCUAUUUUGCAUAUUAAAAAAACCUACCACCAUCAUUCCUAUUCUUCAUUUUUACCAGCUUUGAACAAAUUUUGGUGGGAUUUGAGUAUGUUCAAAUCUCA